UGGGGAAUUUUGGACAAUGGGCGCAAGCCUGAUCCAGCCAUGCCGCGUGCGGGAAGAAGGCCUUCGGGUUGUAAACCGCUUUUGUCAGGGAAGAAAUCUUCUGAGUUAAUACCUCGGGAGGAUGACGGUACCUGAAGAAUAAGCACCGGCUAACUACGUGCCAGCAGCCGCGGUAAUACGUAGGGUGCAAGCGUUAAUCGGAAUUACUGGGCGUAAAGCGUGCGCAGGCGGUUUUGUAAGACAGAGGUGAAAUCCCCGGGCUCAACCUGGGAACUGCCUUUGUGACUGCAAGGCUUGAGUGCGGCAGAGGGGGGAUGGAAUUCCGCGUGUAGCAGUGAAAUGCGUAGAUAUGCGGAGGAACACCGAUGGCGAAGGCAAUCCCCUGGGCCUGCACUGACGCUCAUGCACGAAAGCGUGGGGAGCAAACAGGAUUAGAUAGCCCUGGUAGUCCACGCCCUAAAACGAUGUCAACUGGUUGUUGGGAAGGUUCCUUCUCAGUAACGUAGCUAACGCGUGAAGUUGACCGCCUGGGGAGUACGGCCGCAAGGUUGAAACUUAAAU
rnacentral:rRNA from 1 species